rnacentral:lncRNA from 1 species
GUAGGUGAUAGAAUACAUUCUGCAUUGCUUAGGCCAAUUUGAGUUGGGGUUUGUCUCCCUAGGGGCAGGAAUAGCUUGCCAUGGCAUGGCUCCGUGGUGAUGGUAGAUGGCAGGUGGAGAGAAGUUGGACUGUGGUUUUCCUCCUAUGGACUGGGUCUCAUACUUUCCUCUUCAUGCUUUCCCUCUCUCACAUUGGGUGAACUGUGAAGCCUGUUGACUAGGGGGAAGCCACACAGCCUCAGCUGCCUCCCUGGCCCUGGCCUCCUUAAAAUUUCUGUUUGAGAUGCAAAUUUUUUGGUCAAAUGUGAAUAAAUCCCUUAUUUCCCUUCCCUAUGUCUAAUUUGGGAUCAGGAUAAGAGACAAGAAUAAAGCAUUUCUGGAUUAAAAAAAAAAGGAUGGCUCUACAUUGAAAUCCAAAUGACAUAACAGCCUUCAAACUGGCAUUUGCAAUUGGGCUGAGUUAACCUAAUUCAAUAUCAAAGGAACAGGGAAGUUUUUAAUUAUCUCAUUCUCAUAAUGGGAGAAGAAACUGGUUCCAUGGGAGGUAAACACCCUAAGCCACAAGGUUUUCAUGUAAAUUACAAUGCUCAACUUGAGCUGACAAGGAGAGGGGAUGUUUCUUCCUGUUUGAUAGCCUUCCCUGAUGUGUGGCCUUUUACUAUAGUCAUAAAAAGACAGUAAAUUAAGAAGGCACUGUAAAAUAUCAUCGGAACCGGCCCAAGGAGCCAAAUUUCCAGCCAAAGCCUUGAAAACGAGGGAGACGAUAAACAGUACAGAGUCAGUCUUUGGGGCAGAGGCCCCAAGCCAGGGAGAAAGCUGACGUCUUUUCCAAAGGUGCAGAGUUGAGAGCCUGGAGCCGCACACAAAGCAGGAUAAAGAGGAGUGGGCAUAGAAUUGGGAAAAGAGGGCCUCCCGAUCCUAGAAAGUGGUUCUCCUGGGUGGGGAGCUGCUGAGGCUUGGCACAGGGUGGAAUCUGGUCUGGCUUGGGAGGUGAUAUAGGCUGAGAUGCCAUCUCUCCACUGACCACUCAGCUAACACCUUCUUGAGUUACAGGCACUAGAGAUAUGGAGAUGGAAGAAGAGAGAGUCAGUGUCCUCAGGGUCGAGGUGAAGAAGACAGAUGAUGUGCCAGUGUGAUGUGAUCAAGGCCAGCCAAAAUGACAACAUGGGAUGAAGGAAGAAUUGCCUCGAGCCAUUUCAGGCAGAGGGUUGUCUAUACUUUCAAAGUUUUCGAAGGAGUGGAUGAACCCUGAAGUCCUCCUCCGGUCUCAGCUGGUUCUCUGCUGCUACACUUUUGUGCUCUGUCAUCUCUUCCCCCGCUGAGCUGGAGAGAGAAUGUGGCAGCAGAGCCCUCCUGAUAUUUAAAGACAGGACUGAGAGACUCCUCAGCCACGACCAUGUGUGUCAGUCAUCUUGAUUCUGGGACACUGCACAGCCACAGCAGCCGCUUGGCUGGAAGUGAAGGUCAAGGCCACCAGGCAUCCCGUGGCCGAACCUGGCUCCUUCUCUUGGCUCCCAGCAGUCUCAUUUCCCCCGCGGGAAGGGCUAUUUAUAGAACAGAAAGAGCAGUUGCAGCCACACUUUACCCCACGAGCUCAACCCUCUGUGCCUUAGAGGGAAAACUUCCCUGCGGGUGACACCUGUGCACUGGCAAGACUUACUUGGGAGACAGAUUUAUAAUAAACAGCCUUAUUUUAUAGAGCCCCAAAUAUUUGCACAAAAAUGAGCCCUUGGUAUAACUUGCUCCAUUUAUCUCCCUGCUGUCAUAGGGUAUAUCUCUCUGUUUUAUUACUUUAUUUGCCAGUUCCUCCAGCUUCUGCGCUCACCCCUCCUCUUCAUUUCCACUGCAGUUGUCACUCUGGUGGGGGGGCCCCGUCUCUCCUCCCUGUCACGCUUCUCCCUCUGCCUGCUAGUGUUCCAUUCCCUCCAGCUCACACAGGGGACUUGGCCUCCCUAGGGUCCCCCUCCAUUCCCCCUCAGGAUUCUAGGGAGCAGCAGGAAUGUGUCCCUGGGGAAGGACCCUCUUCCAAAUGCCCCCCAGUCACCCCCGAGGCCCGGCUUCCUUUUCAGCACUCUGGACAGCGCUCCUGGAGGCUGUUGCUUUAAGAGACUUGGCCUUCGCCUUGCAGUCCUGGGCUGACCGGUUCGGAGGCAUUUAGGAUGCCUCCCUGCCUCAUCUCUUAGCAUUUCUAACAGUAUAAGGUAAACCCUGAGUGGUUUCUUAACCUCCACGACUACCCAAGACGUGGGCUCAAGAACAGAGUGAGCAGCGUAUGAAAAAAAGAAGUGAUUUUAAUUUCAAAGUUCUGCUGACAUUCAUCAAGUGCUCUCAAGGUUUACAUAAACAGAACGCCCUGCUUGAAAUAUCACUUUGAAUUCCGUUUGUGCAAUGGCACCUCUAAUAGGCUGCUGUUUUGGUUUCUCUCAGCAAUGUGAGCCUUUGUGUUUUAAUAUUCAGAGGCACAAGGAACAGGAAAAUUAUAGCUGGGGAAGCCCAGGCUGGGUUCUUCAUCAUCCAAGUUAAAUUUGGCUGAAUGGAGGAAAAACAUCCUUUUAAAAGGGUGGUAAAUGGGAAUAAUAAUCUCUUACAUUUACAAAACACUGAGUAUUUUCAAAGCUCUCUCAUAUUCAUUAUCUUGUUAGGUUUUCACAGAAAUCCUGUAUAAAACAUUCCACAAAGAGCUAUUGUAGGUGCUGGAUGUGAAUGGCAGGCCUGAGGAGGCCUUCUCAGCAAAUGGAGAAACUGAGGCUGGGGGAGGGUGAGUGACUGGCUUAAGGUCACUCCAUGGUGGCCAAGCCAGGGAGAGCUGGCCAAAGCCAGGAGGUGGCCAUGCCAGCCAUCCGUCUUGCAGGCUGCCUCCUCCCUGGUACCUCCCCCAUGGCCCCAAAGUGACCUUUGUCUCUUCUCUCAUGGAACACACAUCCUCCAAACGAAGUGGCCACAAAACCCCCUCACCUGGACUUCUACCCUUGUAGGAGAAUUAAAGCCCAAAGCAAAAAGAGAGAAUCUGUACAAGUGGCAACAGUCUUCAUCUGCUGAGCAUUGGCUUUGCAUCAAGAAGCGUGCUGUACCCUUGACAUGCACUAUUUCAUUUGACCCUCUUAACAGCUCCGGGAAUGCUUUUAGUCCCAUUUUAUGGCCAAGAAAACUGAUGUUCAGAAGAUUCGAGCUAAUCAGUGUCACAGCUGCAGCCACACUCAAGCAGCCUGCUCCAAAGCCCGAGCUGCCUGUCACUAUGCCAUAUAUAUACUUCCUGUUUGUCUCCAAGGACAGUUUUUAGCAUCAGUUGGAGGGAGGGACUGGUGGGGUAUGAGGCCUGCAUUGCCCUUCUUGCCAGCGGCUAGGUUCUUUGCCUCCUGUAGGCUGCUGCUAGGAUGGGGACCACAGCACUGUGGGUUCUGACAUCGCAGGUCCUAAGGCUGCCCCUCUGCCUGGCACUGACCUUGCCCUUUAAGAUGGAAGUCACCAGACUGCAACUGAUGCAUGGCCAGGGCAUUCGUGCAACAUUCCAAUCACUUCAGCAAACACGUCGUAUGGAUGAAUACACACAUGAACGAAUGAGUGAAUGAAUGAAGGAAGGGAAGAGAAAAAGGGUCUCUUUGUAGGUGUGUGGAGUGGGGCUCUGCAGCAGGAAGAAGCAGCGGUUGGGAAAUGUAACACCUGCUGUGGCUCAAAGCCCUGGUUCUGAACAGGAGACCCCUGUACCCUCCCCCCAGCAGUAUCUGAUGGGCAAGGGCCCUGAUGGAGGUUAAGUGGAUGCAGAUGGAGCCAGGGCUUUCAG